UACGGAGGGUGUGAGCGUUAAUCGGAAUUACUGGGCGUAAAGCGUGCGCAGGCGGCUUUGCAAGACAGAUGUGAAAUCCCCGGGCUCAACCUGGGAACUGCAUUUGUGACUGCAAGGCUAGAGUACGGCAGAGGGGGAUGGAAUUCCGCGUGUAGCAGUGAAAUGCGUAGAUAUGUGGAGGAACACCAAUGGCGAAGGCAA
rnacentral:rRNA from 1 species